GCCUCCACCCGGGCUCCGGAGGCCAAUCCGACGUCUCCCCGUCCAGGUGUGUUUUCGGGAGCGGUCUGGGUACCAUCUUCGGUUCUGACUCCAGGAUCCUGGCGUGUUGUGAAUAGCAGGUUUUGAAACCGGUUCUGCAGGAGGUGAGUGUGUGGGGCUGUGCCGAGAUGAAGACAGAGGAUCAGCCUCAUGGCUGGAAGCAGUGCUGAGCUUGCUGCCUGGAAGACGCCACACACCCCCGGGACCAGGACCGUGGCGCAGAGACUGUGCUGCUGAGGCGGCCUAGAGAGUUUCAGAUAUUUAAGGAUUCCGUGCAUUUAGAGGGGACAUAUUUCCUGGAUAAGUGGAAAAUUGUGCAGCUGUCUUCUGGAAAACCUUCACUUUAAUUAGCUUUAUAGUGAAACCUUUCAUUUCGAAGUCUGGACCUUCUUUCUUCAGCUUGCCGUAAUCGACGUUCACGGAGUGGAACCUGUAUUGAUUAUUGGGACCCUGUGUGUUCCGGGUUUCUGGAUUGAAUAAAUAUCAGGUGCAAGGCCUACAGGAGCCCCAGUACCUCUAGCUCCACUAAAUACAUAGGGGGGAUCAGGCUUGGCUGCUUCUUGGAACAUUGUCAAAGAUCUGGCAGAACGUGGUGGCAGCGGACACCUCGGAUCUAGAAGGAGAGAAGAACGAAUCUGCAAGGCACAGGUGCCGAGAGAAUAGAUCUUAAGCCCUCUUGCUACACACGGAAAAGGUAACUGUGUGAAGUGACAGAUGCAUAAAAAUUAACUUAAUUGCGAUCAUUUUAGUGUCUGCAUAUAUCAAAUCGUGUCGCACACUUUGAGUGUAUACAGUUUUAUCUGUCCGUUAUAAUUAAAGCUGGGAAAAAUUAAAAAUACAGUGUCAGACCCAUCGAUUGAUGGUUCUGUUGAGUUGAACUAUAUCCUUACUGAUUUUCUGUCUACUGGAUCUGUCAGUUACUAAUAGAGGGAGUAUUGAAAUCCUUCACGUUAAUAGCGGAUUAUCUGUUUCUCUUCUGCAUUUUUAUCCGUUUUUGCCUCUUGCAUUUUGACGCUUUGUUGUAAAGUGCGUAUAUUUCAGAGAUUAUUGUGUCUUCUUGGAGAAUUGACCCCCUUGUUAUGUAAUACCCUCUUUUACCCCUGGUAAGUUUCCUUAUUCUAAUGCCUUUUUUGGUCUGAAAUUCACAGAGCUACUCCAGCUUUCUUUUGAUUUGUGCCAGUCCAGUACUUCUUUCCCCACUCUUUUAUUGUAAUCUAUGUGUUUUUGUGUUUAAAUUGGGUUUCUUAUAGACAUCACAUAGCCGGGUAUCGUUUUUCAUCUGCCCUUGCAGUCUCUUCUUGCAGUGGGCGUGUGUAGACCGCUCCCCUUUUAAGUGAUCGCUGACAUAGUUGGAUUUACAUCCACCAUGUUCGUAAAAGUGUUGUACCUGCUGCACUUAUUCUUUGUGUUCUUUUUAAUCUUCCUGUU